rnacentral:rRNA from 1 species
GAUCAUGGCUCAGGAUGAAUGCUAGCGACAGGCUUAACACAUGCAAGUCGAGGGCAUCACGGGAGUAGCAAUACAACUGGUGGCGACCGGCGCACGGGUGAGUAACGCGUAUGCAACCUACCUAUCAGAGGGGAAUAACCCGGCGAAAGUCGGACUAAUACCGCAUAAAACAGGGGCACCGCAUGGUGAUAUUUGUUAAAGAAAUUCGCUGAUAGAUGGGCAUGCGUUCCAUUAGGUAGUUGGUGAGGUAACGGCUCACCAAGCCGACGAUGGAUAGGGGAACUGAGAGGUUGGUCCCCCACACUGGUACUGAGACACGGACCAGACUCCUACGGGAGGCAGCAGUGAGGAAUAUUGGUCAAUGGGCGGGAGCCUGAACCAGCCAAGUCGCGUGAAGGAAGAAGGAUCUAUGGUUCGUAAACUUCUUUUGCAGGGGAAUAAAGUGCAGGACGUGUCCUGUUUUGUAUGUACCCUGAGAAUAAGGAUCGGCUAACUCCGUGCCAGCCGCGGC